rnacentral:sRNA from 1 species
ACGUGUCAUUUUGGCUCAAG